GCCAUCAUAGUAUAGUGGUUAGUACACCACGUUGUGGACCCGUGGAAACCUCAGUUCGAUUCUGGGUGAUGGCA